UACGUAGGGUGCAAGCGUUGUCCGGAAUCAUUGGGCGUAAAGAGCUCGUAGGCGGUCUGUCGCGUCUGCUGUGAAAACCUGGGGCUUAACCCUGGGCUUGCAGUGGGUACGGGCAGACUAGAGUGCGGUAGGGGGAGACUGGAAUUCCUGGUGUAGCGGUGAAAUGCGCAGAUAUCUGGAGGAACACCGGUGGCGAAGGCGGCAUCCUGGACCGACACUGACGCUGAGGAGCGAAAGCCAGGGGA
rnacentral:rRNA from 1 species